UAUUUCUCUUAACAUGCAGCCUGUCCACAUCAUCAAUCAACAUGCAGUUAUCCACAUCAGCUAAUCUGCCACAUCAUCAAGUUUUUUCUUUUCUUUUUCUAUAGAGGAAGAAGAUUACACACGGCACACACACUUCCUCUUCCCCAUGCCCGCGACCUCACACGACGCCCCCUCUUCUUCCCAAUUGCGAUGUCCUACCUUCUCCACAAAACUUCUCGCCCACUUCAUCUUCCCCAAAGUCCAUUAAAUCACGGUAAUGGAAAGGAUGCAACUCUGUAUUUACACGGGGACCCAUCAAUCGAUCACAUCAGAGCCAAGAAGAUGAGACGGCGAGGUCGAGCUUCAGGUCAAGGUUCAGACUGGUGGCGACUGGCGAGGCGGAGUGACGGCUCACCGGAGCAGCGCCUUCUCGCUGGUCGCUUGGAGUCGUUGGCGUCGAUCGCAUCAGAGCCAAGAGGACGAGACGGCGAGGUCGAGCUUCAGGUCAAUUCAGACUGAUGGCGAGGCGGCAGGAGAGACGGCUCACUAGAGCAGCGGCCUUCUUGGUGGUCGUGUUCGAGCCGUUGGCGUCGCUGCUCACAGCCGUGGCCUCCUCCUCCCACUGGCCGCUCGAUAGCGUCAGGACAAACCCCGCCGCCGGCUGCUGUUGCUUUUGACGCGUGCUUACCUACGGUAACAUCUUCUCUGAACAUUAAUACUCUCCCCGUCCCCGCUCACCUGUGCCACUCGAUUCGUCUCUUUUUUUUCCUUCGAUGCAGGGCUUGGUGGUCCCCUAUCGCACGCACUACUAUCACCAUCCAUCUCUUUUUUCCUUCGAUGCAUGAGUAGGCUGCACUGCAGCAAGUAGUAGCAGCAGCCAACGAAAGUGUUGGCAUGGUCAGGAGGGAGGAGAGAUGCUGCUUCAAACAGAUUUUUGAGAUAACUGCAUCAUGAUCUGCUGUGAUGAGUAGGAACAAUAGCAGUCAAGACUAAAUAGCAUAUCUAGGUACACCCGAGAUACCAUAUACAGUACUACUUUCAAGCUGCAUACUUGCUAUUGGCCUUAUUUGAUCUAGCAUGUUGGAUCACUAAUGUUUCUGAAUUUCUUUGUGACCAUUCACUAAAGGUAACUCUUGCUACGCCAUUUUGUUGGUAUGAUUGCAUAAAUUUGCACAAACUGUAUUGCCCCUUGCUAAAGAAGACCUCUGAAGAAAUUGUCUUGUAAAAUGCACAGAUCUCUGUUGAUGGUAUGAUGUCCAUAAUUUUCUUUGUCGUUCAAUACAUCUUCUGUUUUUAGGUACUGAUGUGUUUUGAACAUAUUUCAGAAUAUUCAAAAUAUCUUGGCGUUUGCAGGUUACUUUGGUCUAGAUUAUGGGGUAAAAAAAAGGUUUUGUCUGGAUUAGUUCUCUUCCAGUCAGUCUCAUGUUUUAAUGUUGUGAAUUAUUUCCGCAUAUAUGCGCACCCGACAGUGUUGACAAGUAUAUGAUACAAACAUACUCGAAGGAAGGCCAUACUAUUUUCUUCAUUCAAUUCUCAUUAGUCUUGCAUGGACCUAAAAAUAGUACUAUGGUGUGGGCAACUAAGAAGAAUCAUUACCACCUCUGAAGCAAAUCUUCACUCAAUUCUAUAGAAUGUUCGGUUUUUAUGUGCGGAAAUUAUGGGACAAACUGAAUUGGCAAUUUAUGUUCUCGCUGUCAUCAAUUCUUACACACUAUGAUGUGGGCAACUAAGAAGAAUCAUUACCACCUCUGAAGCAAAUCUCCAAUGCCUAUUUGAUUUGUGGUAUAUUUAUUUAUUCUUUGCGGGCGAGAUGUUUUCGAUGCACAAAUGUUUGGAAGGCCAUGAUAUUUUGCCAGUGGGAACUGUAACCACUAAUGUUAAUAUUUUUUUGAAAGGAAAUGUUAUGUAUUUUUCUAGCCAGUUUUGCAGUUCAAUCUCAUAAAAUGGUUUUAUUUUAGCCAAGAAAAAAUACGGCUAAAAGUAUAUCCAAAUUAUUUAUAUUUCAUUUGUCUAACAUAUCUCAUUUUUCUUGCAACAGUUCCCGCAACAACGUGCGGGGUGUCAUCUAGUUAAUGGAAAGAAUAAGGGCGUUUUUGGUUGCCGUCGGCUACAGUAUCUGCAUUGCAUACACUUCUGCACUCAGCCUGGCUCUCGAAAAACAACCUCAUAUGCGACAUCUGCAAUUUGUUUGGUUGUCUGCAUAUGGACUGCAUGCAUCAAUGGAUCAACAUUGGCAUGUUGUUUGUUUGCCUGCA